UCGAGGAAGUUGGUUCUUCGUAAUGACCGUUGUACGCGUUUAACAACCCAGGGAAGUUCCUUCCUGAGAGUGCCUUACCGUUUUGUGAUGUUGUUUUGAUUUAUUAUUAAUGCAUUCCUUCUCGGGUUGGAGACGUCGUUAGCUGUAGGACAGCUGUUGAGUGAUUUUUGAAGUUUUUUGAGUAAGGCUGCGAUUCGGUUCUCUAGUUGUGGAGUUGGGUUUAUCGCCACCUGUUGGUCCUGGAGUAAAGAGAUAACAAGGUGUAGAGCUGGAUGAACACAGCAGGUCAAGCAGCUUCAUAGGAGCAGAAGAGCUGACAUUUCGGGCCUAGACCCUCCUUCAGAAAUGAAGACUUGAAACCAGAACUCCUGGCUCAGAGGCAAGAAUACUACCCUUUUCCCCAUAGAACCUCCUCCCCUUCAAGGCUAAGAUUGUUUAAAUGAACCGCAGUGUUAGUCUUAAACCAUACUAUGGA